GUACUACUCCCUCCGUCCGGAAAUACUUGUCAUCAAAAUGGAUAAAAAAAGAUGUAUCUAGACGUAUUUUAGUUCUAGAUACAUUCAUUUUUAUCCAUUUUGAUGACAAGUAUUUUCGGACGGAGGGAGUAUAAU
rnacentral:pre_miRNA from 1 species